rnacentral:tRNA from 1 species
AGGGAAAUAACUCCAUGGUAGAGUGCAUACUUAGCAUGCAUGAGGUCCUAGGUUCAAUCCCUAGUACCUCCA